rnacentral:tRNA from 1 species
CGGGGCGUAGCGCAGCCCGGUUAGCGCGCCUGCCUUGGGAGCAGGAGGCCGCCGGUUCAAAUCCGGCCGCCCCGA